AGUCUUCACAGGUUUGAAAAAGUACAUGUUUUGGAAAGGAGCAGGUUGGUGAGGAACAGCUGCAAAUGUCACUGCUGUCUCUCCAAGGAAGAAUCAAGAAGCAGGCAUGUGUGUUAAAGCUUGUAAUUUCUCCCUCAACUGAGGAAUAAUACAGAAACAAUAUGACACAGGCUUUUCAAGAUACGUGGUCAAAAUUAUCUUUCUGGAGCUGGAGGGAAGGUGCACAAGGUCUAGGAGCAGGGACAGAUAGAGGGAAAAUUUUUGUCUAUCUAGAAGAUCCAUAAAAAUAACCAUGUGAAUGAAAGUUUGCACAGAAGUCCUGGCAUGAGAUGGGGGCAGUGGUAAACAGAAAUAGGGAAUGAAGACCUUGUUUUUCGGCAGUGUGGAAAAUGGGAGUGGGAUGACACAAAUGAAGCAUGGAAGUCUGUGUAAUGUCAUGGAACUUAAGAUGUAUGAGGAGUUGCAUUACCUAAAAUCAGCUUUAUUUUACUCAGUGCCAGACCUCCCUGGAGUGAGGAUAUAUGAGGCUUUCUGAGAUUAGUCUGCCAGAUCAGCUGGCCUUCUGCAAGGAUAAUCCUCCAUCAAACGUUCAGGAACAUUCAAUGCUUUGACUCUUGAACCACAGUGGUAAUUUCUUUCUAACUAAAGGAUGUGAACUUCCCUUGAAUCAAAAAUUCAACUUGGAACGUCAAGAGACUGAAGAAAUAUUGCAGUCAGAAAUUGAAGAUUUUUUUUUUCUCUCUGUCUUCCAGGAUAUUUUUUAACUUGAGGAAUUUGGGCAGUUUUCUGUGAUUCAUGGAAGCCAUUAUAAAAUGAGCUAGGUAUCUGGGAGCAGAAUUUCUUAGUAGGUCACUGUCUAUACAUGUUAUGGCCAUAUCAGUAGCAAUCUGUGUUGACCUCAGCUAUUGUGUCUGAUAUGCUAAUGAUCAAAACUGCUAGGAGCUUGUUUACAGAGACAGUCAUUGACAUCUCCUGUGGUACGCUAUUUCCUACACUGUUUAAAUGGGGAUAUUCUGAACCUGGUGACAAUUGUACAUGUACUGUGGAAGAGGAGGGGUGGAAGCACUGAUUCAGAAAAUCGUAGUACAGUAUGCUUUUUAUGAACUCAGUAUACAGAUAGUACUAUCAUUAAUACAUGAAUCCUCAGUUUACUUCAUGAGUAAGCAAAAAAGAAAAGACAGAAAAUGGGGGGGAAAAAAAAAGACGCUCAACUUAGUUACCUAUUCUUAACUGCUGACAAAGUAUUGACCAAUAUUUGAAACAAGCUUAGUCAAAAUGAGCAAUAUGAAAAUGUAAAAAGUUAAUAACUUUUUAGCUGUUCAAAAUAUUUUUCUUAAAAGAAAGUAGGUUUUGCCAGUGAAAUUAUUUGUAAAUCAUUUUCCUAAUUAAGAGAGCAUGCUUGAUAUG
ensembl:lncRNA